rnacentral:tRNA from 1 species
GGAGGGGCGGGCGGGUCGCUCGUCCGGGGGCCUCAGCGGCCCCCGGGGUCGGUCACGGCUCGACGCGGGUCGCGAUCGCGCCCUUGCG